rnacentral:rRNA from 1 species
GACGAACGCUGGCGGCGUGCCUAAUACAUGCAAGUAGAACGCUGAAGAGAGGAGCUUGCUCUUCUUGGAUGAGUUGCGAACGGGUGAGUAACGCGUAGGUAACCUGCCUUGUAGCGGGGGAUAACUAUUGGAAUCGAUAGCUAAUACCGCAUAACAAUGGAUGACACAUGUCAUUUAUUUGAAAGGGGCAAUUGCUCCACUACAAGAUGGACCUGCGUUGUAUUAGCUAGUAGGUGAGGUAAUGGCUCACCUAGGCGACGAUACAUAGCCGACCUGAGAGGGUGAUCGGCCACACUGGGACUGAGACACGGCCCAGACUCCUACGGGAGGCAGCAGUAGGGAAUCUUCGGCAAUGGGGGCAACCCUGACCGAGCAACGCCGCGUGAGUGAAGAAGGUUUUCGGAUCGUAAAGCUCUGUUGUAAGUCAAGAACGGGUGUGAGAGUGGAAAGUUCACACUGUGACGGUAGCUUACCAGAAAGGGACGGCUAACUACGUG